rnacentral:rRNA from 1 species
CAAGACUUGACAUCCCGCUGACCGCUCUAGAGAUAGAGUUUCCCUUCGGGGCAGCGGUGACAGGUGGUGCAUGGUUGUCGUCAGCCCGUGUCGUGAGAUGUUGGGUUAAGUCCCGCAACGAGCGCAACCCCUAUGUUGUGUUGCCAUCAUUUAGUUGGGCACUUACAACAGACUGCCGGUGACAAACCGGAGGAAGGCGGGGAUGACGUCAAAUCAUCAUGCCCCUUAUGUCUUGGGCUACACACGUGCUACAAUGGGCGGUACAAAGAGACGCGAGACCGCGAGGUGGAGCCAAUCUCAUAAAGCCGUUCGUAGUUCGGAUUGCAGGCUGCAACUCGCCUGCAUGAAGCCGGAAUUGCUAGUAAUCGCGGAUCAGCAUGCCGCGGUGAAUUCGUUCCCGGGCCUUGUACACACCGCCCGUCACACCACGGGAGUUGGCAACACCCAAAGUCGGUGAGGUAACCUUCGGGAGCCAGCCGCCUAAGGUGGGGUCGAUGACUGGGGUG